CCAAACUUGGUCAUUUAGAGGAAGUAAAAGUCGUAACAAGGUUUCCGUAGGUGAACCUGCGGAAGGAUCAUUAUCGAAAUCUAAAGAAGGGGGGAAGCAAGUUGGAACGAAGUAAAUUUGAAGUAGAAUCCUCUUGAGAGAUUGUAGCUGGCCUUGGAGACGAGGCAAUGUGCACGUCUUGAGGAUAUGUGCUUCCUAGUCUUUGUUUUGACUCUAUCUCUCUUCGACAACAAAUUUUACACCUGUGCACUUUUUGUAGGUCCUAACGGAUCUAUGUUUUUCAUCUACACCCAAACGUAUGUCUAUAGAAUGUCUUUUUGCAGUGUCGUUCGACCUGUGCUUUGAUUAGCCUUGUUGUUCGACCGCAAUGAAAUCAAUUAUAACUUUCAGCAACGGAUCUCUUGGCUCUCGCAUCGAUGAAGAACGCAGC
rnacentral:misc_RNA from 1 species